UCAUUUAUUCUUAUACCAUGGAAGGUACUGGGAUCCAUAUUAUUAUAGGAGGCGAAGGCGACAAGCUGAUGAUGACAAGAUGAACUUCAUUGAAUCGGUCUUCUCCUUUGUAUUUGGAGAUGGUGAUCCCAAUCAAGGAAUUGAAGAAGAGAGAUGGAAGUUGAUUGGACAAUACAUAGCAUCUAAUGGUGGUGUUGUUGCAGCUGAAGAACUUGCUCCAUAUCUUGAUAUAGAUUCUACUGAGGGACUUAAGCUCAGGCUUGAGACAUGACAACAUACUUUAGCUUGGAAUAUCAAGUCAGGAUUGGUACAUUCAUAGUUUAACAUGAUCAUUUAUGGGUUUGG